UUCUAGCAGCGAAGAGGGCAAACCGGAGGAGUCAGAGCCAUGCACUUCCACCGAUGAUGACAGCUCUCUGGCCUGACAAGAACAGGUGGUCGCACCAGGCCUAGCAACACCUCCAAACAAUGCCAGCGAAGACCCUACUAUCUUGAACCCAGACUCAGAUUCGUUGUUCCCCGUCCCGGAUGACAGUCGUGGUGCUGCUGCUAAAUCCGACUCCCAGACAAAAAACAUAAAAGAUCCCGGGUGGAAGAACGUCCAGGACCGACCCUGCAUGUGCGACAUGCACCCACUGAGUUAGCCGCAGGCGGACGACAAUAUCCACUGUCAUGGUACGGAUGAAGCCUGAGCUGGUCAGUCUGUGCUGUCAGAGACAGGCCAAGAGAAAUGGGGACAGUGUGACCAGAGCUGCAGAUGUCAUCAGACAACUCCACACCAGGGCAAUGACAAGAGAAACAACAUGCUUUCACCUUUUUCAAUAAACUUAACUGGACUUUU